GUAAUAUUUUAUGCAACUUCUCAUGUCUUUUUCCUAUUAAAACAAAAUGUUUAGACAAAGUUACUUGUGAAAAGUUAUUUGAAACGUAUAGUUCAAUUUUACACAACAAUUCUCCAGAAAUUUGGAUAAGUGAGGUAGAAAUUCGGCGACGACGACGACAAGUUGGUAUAAAUAUUCGAAACGCUCUUGGUGCUCUCAAUAUUUGUAAUUCAGAUGCGUUUCGAAACGUUCAUAAAUAAAAUGUUACGUGUAAUGUCAGUUUUGCCCGCGACUACAACGACUAAUGAAAGGUAAUUUUCAACAUUCGUCAGCUGAAAACUUACCUACGAUCAACAAUGGGAGAAGAUCGCUUAAAUAGACUAGCGUCAUUGAAUACACAUCGUGAUAUAAACGUGCAUCGACCAAGCAUUGAAUGAAUUAUUUUCUACCCCUCGUCGAGUAAAUGUAUUGAAACAAUGAUUUAUAUUUUAUAAUAUUGAUAAG